rnacentral:rRNA from 1 species
AUACGGAGGAUCCGAGCGUUAUCCGGAUUUAUUGGGUUUAAAGGGUGCGUAGGUGGUUUGAUAAGUCAGCGGUGAAAGUUUGCAGCUUAACUGUAAAAAUGCCGUUGAAACUGUCGGACUUGAGUGUAAAUGAGGUAGGCGGAAUGCGUGGUGUAGCGGUGAAAUGCAUAGAUAUCACGCAGAACUCUGAUUGCGAAGGCAGCUUACUAAGCUACAACUGACACUGAAGCACGAAAGCGUGGGGAUCAAACAGGAUUAGAUACCCUGGUAGUCCACGCAGUAAACGAUGAUUACUAGCUGUUUGCGAUACACAGUAAGCGGCACAGCGAAAGCGUUAAGUAAUCCACCUGGGGAGUACGCCGGCAACGGUGAAACUCAAAUGAAUUGACGGG